rnacentral:rRNA from 1 species
UGGCGAACGGGUGAGUAACACGUGGGUAACCUGCCCUUGGCUUUGGGAUAAGCCCUGGAAACGGGGUCUAAUACCGGAUAUGACUACUUCACGCAUGUGGGGUGGUGGAAAGUUCCGGCGGCCAGGGAUGGGCCCGCGGCCUAUCAGCUUGUUGGUGGGGUGAUGGCCUACCAAGGCGACGACGGGUAGCCGGCCUGAGAGGGCGACCGGCCACACUGGGACUGAGACACGGCCCAGACUCCUACGGGAGGCAGCAGUGGGGAAUAUUGCACAAUGGGCGAAAGCCUGAUGCAGCGACGCCGCGUGAGGGAUGACGGCCUUCGGGUUGUAAACCUCUUUCGACAGGGACGAAGCGAAAGUGACGGUACCUGUAGAAGAAGCACCGGCUAACUACGUGCCAGCAGCCGCGGUAAUACGUAGGGUGCGAGCGUUGUCCGGAAUUAUUGGGCGUAAAGAGCUCGUAGGCGGUUUGUCGCGUCGACUGUGAAAACCUGGGGCUUAACUCUGGGCCUGCAGUCGAUACGGGCAGACUUGAGUUCGGUAGGGGAGACUGGAAUUCCUGGUGUAGCGGUGAAAUGCGCAGAUAUCAGGAGGAACACCGGUGGCGAAGGCGGGUCUC